CGCCCACGGGCACUCCCGGGCUCGUGAAGGGGCGGAGCUCGUGGGCCAGGAACUCCCCUUCCGAACCCGAGGCGUGGCCGCGCGUCGCGGAGGCGCGGCUGUGGGGUCGUGGGUCCCGGUCGGGUGGGCCCACGUUACGGGCCGCGCCGCCAUCUUGCCCGUGUCGGGGGUGACUCCCGCGGCGGGAGCGCGGCCACCAGGCUGGAGGCGGCUGUGCGGCGCCCGCGCGGCCUCCUAAGUCGAAAACUAUGAUUCACACUAUAUUUCUGUUGGACAAUACUGCUGUCGAUCUUCUGCUGAGGAACACAGAAGCAACAUGGCUUUCCUUCGCUCAGACACCACUGAUGGGAAGUGAGCACUUGACUUGUUAAACUGGAAGAUUGGACAUAACUUCAGCACUAGAAUGCAGUCUGCUUGGGCUGCCAUAACAAAAUACCAUAGACUGAAUGGCUUAAACAACAGAAAUAACUUUUUCACAGUUUUGGAGACUGGAGUCUGAGAUCAGGUUGCCAGUGUGGUCCAGUUCUGAUAUUCAGUGAAUGGACCUGACUGGACACUUUGAGCACAUCAAUAAACAUGAGUGGUACCAAACCUGAUAUAUUGUGGGCACCACACCAGGUUGAUAGAUUUGUUGUAUGUGACUCAGAACUGAGCCUUUAUCAUGUGGAAUCUACUGUGAAUUCGGAACUCAAAGCUGGAUCUUUACGUUUAUCUGAAGACUCUGCGGCUACUUUGCUAUCAAUAAAUUCAGAUACACCCUAUAUGAAAUGUGUUGCUUGGUAUCUCAAUUAUGAUCCUGAAUGUCUCCUAGCCGUUGGACAAGCAAAUGGUCGAGUAGUACUCACAAGUCUUGGUCAAGAUCACAACUCAAAGUUCAGAGAUUUGAUAGGAAAAGAAUUUGUUCCAAAACAUGCACGACAAUGCAAUACUCUUGCAUGGAAUCCAUUGGAUAGUAACUGGCUUGCUGCUGGUCUAGAUAAGCAUAGAGCUGAUUUUUCAGUGCUGAUUUGGGAUAUCUGCAGCAAAUAUACUCCUGAUAUAGUCCCCAUGGAGAAAGUGAGACUUUCAGCAGGUGAAACUGAAACAACAUUAUUAGUAACAAAACCACUUUAUGAAUUAGGACAGAAUGAUGCUUGUCUCUCUCUUUGUUGGCUUCCACGGGACCAGAAACUUCUCCUUGCUGGUAUGCACCGUAACCUAGCCAUAUUUGAUCUUCGGAAUACAAGCCAAAAGAUGUUUGUAAAUACAAAAGCUGUUCAGGGGGUGACAGUAGACCCAUACUUCCAUGAUCGUGUUGCUUCCUUCUAUGAAGGUCAGGUUGCAAUAUGGGAUCUUAGGAAAUUUGAGAAGCCAGUUUUGACUUUGACUGAGCAACCAAAACCCUUAACAAAAGUUGCAUGGUGUCCAACUAGGACUGGUCUGCUUGCCACUUUAACAAGGGAUAGUAAUAUUAUUAGAUUAUAUGAUAUGCAACAUACACCCACUCCCAUUGGGGAUGAAACUGAACCCACAAUAAUUGAAAGAAGUGUGCAACCUUGUGACAAUUACAUUGCUUCCUUUGCUUGGCAUCCAACAAGUCAAAAUCGAAUGAUAGUUGUAACUCCCAACCGAACAAUGUCUGACUUCACUGUUUUUGAAAGGAUAUCUCUUGCCUGGAGCCCAAUUACAUCUUUAAUGUGGGCUUGUGGUCGUCAUUUGUAUGAAUGUACAGAAGAAGAAAAUGAUAAUUCUUUAGAAAAAGAUAUAGCAACAAAGAUGCGCCUUCGGGCUUUAUCAAGGUACGGACUUGAUACAGAACAAGUGUGGAGAAACCAUAUUUUAGCUGGAAAUGAAGAUCCACAGCUCAAGUCACUCUGGUAUACUCUGCACUUCAUGAAGCAGUAUACAGAAGAUAUGGACCAGAAAUCUCCAGGCAACAAAGGAUCAUUGGUUUAUGCAGGGAUUAAAUCAAUUGUAAAAUCAUCUUUGGGAAUGGUGGAAAACACCAGACAUAAUUGGAGUGGAUUGGAUAAGCAAACUGAUAUACAGAAUUUAAAUGAAGAAAGAAUCUUAGCUUUACAACUUUGUGGAUGGAUUAAGAAAGGAACAGAUGUAGAUGUAGGGCCAUUUUUGAACUCCCUGGUACAAGAAGGGGAAUGGGAGAGAGCUGCUGCUGUGGCACUGUUCAACUUGGAUAUUCGACGAGCAAUCCAAAUCCUGAAUGAAGGGGCAUCUUCAGAAAAAGGUGAUCUGAAUCUCAAUGUGGUAGCAAUGGCUUUAUCAGGUUAUACUGAUGAGAAGAACUCCCUUUGGAGAGAAAUGUGCAGCACUCUACGAUUACAAUUAAACAACCCAUAUCUGUGUGUCAUGUUUGCAUUUCUGACAAGUGAAGCAGGAUCCUAUGAUGGAGUAUUGUAUGAAAACAAAGUUGCUGUCCGUGACAGAGUGGCUUUUGCUUGUAAAUUCCUUAGUGAUAGUCAGUUAAAUAGAUACAUCGAAAAGUUGACCAAUGAAAUGAAAGAGGCUGGAAAUUUGGAAGGAAUUCUGCUUACAGGCCUUACUAAAGAUGGAGUGGACUUAAUGGAGAGUUAUGUCGAUAGGACUGGAGAUGUCCAAACAGCAAGUUACUGCAUGUUACAGGGUUCUCCUUUAGAUGUUCUUAAAGAUGAAAGAGUUCAGUACUGGAUUGAGAAUUAUAGAAAUUUAUUAGAUGCCUGGAGGUUUUGGCACAAACGAGCUGAAUUUGAUAUUCACCGGAGUAAGUUGGAUCCCAGUUCCAAGCCUUUAGCGCAGGUGUUUGUGAGUUGCAAUUUCUGUGGCAAGUCUAUCUCCUACAGUUGUUCAACUGUGCCUCAUCAGGGCAGAGGUUUUAGUCAGUAUGGGGUCAGUGGCUCGCCAACGAAAUCCAAAGUCACAAGUUGCCCUGGCUGUCGAAAACCCCUCCCUCGAUGUGCACUUUGUCUCAUUAAUAUGGGAACACCUGUAUCGAGCUGUCCUGGAGGAUCCAAAUCAGAUGAAAAAGUAGACUUAAGCAAGGACAAAAAAUUAGCUCAAUUUAACAACUGGUUUACAUGGUGUCACAAUUGCAGGCAUGGUGGGCAUGCUGGACAUAUGCUUAGUUGGUUCAGGGACCAUGCAGAGUGUCCUGUGUCUGCAUGCACGUGUAAAUGUAUGCAGUUGGAUACGACAGGGAAUCUGGUGCCUGCAGAGACUGUCCAGCCGUAAAUGUUACCACCUACAGAAGAACCUUCAAGUGUGGAGCUUUCUAAUAGAUGACCUUCAUAGCGCAAAAACAUACCUCAGAACAAGUCACUCAUGACUUUCCUAUAAUGGAAAAAUAAAUCAUUCUAUCAAAUCAGCAAUUUGAUGUCUGGAUGAUUUUGAUGUGCUUCACAGAGACAAAUGCUGCUGAAAUGGAUAUCAGAGUGUGUUCAUGAAUUCUCUUGACUAGAUAGAAGAGAAAUAUAAAAGAAUUGUAGCUGCUUCUCUGUCAUCUGAAUAUGCAAAGGACUGAUCUGAUUUUUAUAAUUGAAGGUGUAUUCAAAAAUAAAAAGAAAGUAACCCUAAAAUGUAAUUAUUUUAUGGGUUUCGGAGAAAUACCUUGAAUUUUAAGAGCUUUCAUGUUAGCUGUUUUUACCUGAUGAAACUAAGAUCUAUUUGAAUAGUUUGAAGUGUGACCUAAAUAAUAAACAAAAAUGGAUUAAAAUAUUUUUUUACUUUUAGAUAUGAUACAAAAGGCUCCUUUGUAGGAAAACAUUGCAUAUCUGUCUCACCUAGAUGAUGACAAUCUUCUUUUAAAAUGAAAGAACUGGGAAUAGCUCUAAAAAUAUAUAUAUAUUUAUAUAUACAUGUAUAUGUAUGUACAUAUAUACAUACUAUAUACAGGCAAUCCUCGGGUUACGUCAGACUCAAUGUACGUCGUUUCAUGGUUACGUCGCCAUCUCCCAUUUAUUAAAAAAAAAAGUUCUGUCAUUUCCACAUAUGUACAUGUGUGCUUUAUGUUUUUUAUUAUUUAUUUACCACAAGUAAAGGUCAGGAAUUGUUAAUCUUUUAAAUUUUUUUUACUGUUUCACUUCAUUACUGCUGUGUAUGUGCUCCAUGUGAGUGACGUAGGUGCUUAUAUAGGUGGGUUCCGACUUACGGCGAAAAUUGCGUUAAGUUGUGCCGUAGGAAUGGAUCCAACAUAACCCGAGGACCUACUGUAUGUAUGUGUGUGUGUGUGUGUGUGUGUGUGUGUGUGUAUAUGU